rnacentral:rRNA from 1 species
ACAGAGAGCUUGCUCUCGGGUGACGAGCGGCGGACGGGUGAGUAAUGUCUGGGAAACUGCCUGAUGGAGGGGGAUAACUACUGGAAACGGUAGCUAAUACCGCAUAACGUCGCAAGACCAAAGUGGGGGACCUUCGGGCCUCAUGCCAUCAGAUGUGCCCAGAUGGGAUUAGCUAGUAGGUGGGGUAAUGGCUCACCUAGGCGACGAUCCCUAGCUGGUCUGAGAGGAUGACCAGCCACACUGGAACUGAGACACGGUCCAGACUCCUACGGGAGGCAGCAGUGGGGAAUAUUGCACAAUGGGCGCAAGCCUGAUGCAGCCAUGCCGCGUGUAUGAAGAAGGCCUUCGGGUUGUAAAGUACUUUCAGCGAGGAGGAAGGCGUUAAGGUUAAUAACCUUGGUGAUUGACGUUACUCGCAGAAGAAGCACCGGCUAACUCCGUGCCAGCAGCCGCGGUAAUACGGAGGGUGCAAGCGUUAAUCGGAAUUACUGGGCGUAAAGCGCACGCAGGCGGUCUGUCAAGUCGGAUGUGAAAUCCCCGGGCUCAACCUGGGAACUGCAUUCGAAACUGGCAGGCUAGAGUCUUGUAGAGGGGGGUAGAAUUCCAGGUGUAGCGGUGAAAUGCGUAGAGAUCUGGAGGAAUACCGGUGGCGAAGGCGGCCCCCUGGACAAAGACUGACGCUCAGGUGCGAAAGCGUGGGGAGCAAACAGGAUUAGAUACCCUGGUAGUCCACGCCGUAAACGAUGUCGACUUGGAGGUUGUGCCCUUGAGGCGUGGCUUCCGGAGCUAACGCGUUAAGUCGACCGCCUGGGGAGUACGGCCGCAAGGUUAAAACUCAAAUGAAUUGACGGGGGCCCGCACAAGCGGUGGAGCAUGUGGUUUAAUUCGAUGCAACGCGAAGAACCUUACCUACUCUUGACAUCCAGAGAACUUAGCAGAGAUGCUUUGGUGCCUUCGGGAACUCUGAGACAGGUGCUGCAUGGCUGUCGUCAGCUCGUGUUGUGAAAUGUUGGGUUAAGUCCCGCAACGAGCGCAACCCUUAUCCUUUGUUGCCAGCGGUCCGGCCGGGAACUCAAAGGAGACUGCCAGUGAUAAACUGGAGGAAGGUGGGGAUGACGUCAAGUCAUCAUGGCCCUUACGAGUAGGGCUACACACGUGCUACAAUGGCAUAUACAAAGAGAAGCGACCUCGCGAGAGCAAGCGGACCUCAUAAAGUAUGUCGUAGUCCGGAUUGGAGUCUGCAACUCGACUCCAUGAAGUCGGAAUCGCUAGUAAUCGUAGAUCAGAAUGCUACGGUGAAUACGUUCCCGGGCCUUGUACACACCGCCCGUCACACCAUGGGAGUGGGUUGCAAAAGAAGUAGGUAGCUUAACCUUCGGGAGGGCGCUUACCACUUUGUGAUUCAUGACUGGGGUGAAG